rnacentral:rRNA from 1 species
UACGGAAGGGGGCUAGCGUUGCUCGGAAUGACUGGGCGUAAAGGCGCGUAGGCGGCUUGCACCGUCAGAUGUGAAAUUCCUGGGCUUAACCUGGGGCUGCAUUUGAUACGUGUGGGCUUGAGUGCGGAAGAGGGUCGUGGAAUUCCCAGUGUAGAGGUGAAAUUCGUAGAUAUUGGGAAGAACACCGGUGGCGAAGGCGGCGACCUGGUCCGUGACUGACGCUGAGGCGCGAAAGCGUGGGAGCAAACAGG